rnacentral:rRNA from 1 species
AUGAACGAUCUGAUGAGCGACUCCUUCGUCGGCGCCGCUGCAGCAGCGGCCCAGGCCAAGAGGCAGCAGGACGGCGUGCCUGCCGCCGGCGCCGAGAAGCUGCAGGCGUUCUUGGCAGAGGCAGAGGCGGCCAAGAACGAGAUGGCCGCGCUGCGCAACGAGCUUUCCCAGCUCCAGUCCGCGCACGAGGCUUCUAAGUCCCUCCUCCGCCCCGGCGCGCCCCGCGCCGCCACGCAGGCCGCGCUCGUCCGCCUCCUAGGCUCCGCCCGCCGCCUCCGCGCCCGCCUUGCAUCCAUGGACCGCCGCGCGCCGGCGCCCGCCGCCCACGCCACCGCGGGCCUCCGCGGCCGCCUCCAUGACCUCACCGCCGGGGUCCAGACCCUCCGGCGUCAGGUCUCCGCCGAGCGCCGUGGCGACGCGGCCCGCUGCUACCUCGCCGCGGCCGGCGAGGCCCCCACCGAGGACCAGCUGGAUCGGCUCGUCGCAAGCGGCGGAGCGGGCGCCAACGACGCCGACGAGGCGAUGCGGGCGGCCAUGCUGUCCUCCUCCGAGGCUGAGAAGGUGGAGGGUGGGCUCCUUGAGCUGCAGCAGCUGUUUCUCGACAUGGCCGCGCUGGUCGAGUCCCAGGGCCCACUCUUGGACGACGUGGAGCGGCAUGUCGCAGCGGCAGCGGAGGACGUCGGCGCGGCCGAGGGGGAGCUGCGAGAGGCCCAGCGGCUCCAGGGCGCCGCGCGGCGGAGGAGGAUGUGGUUGGGCGGGGGGCUCGCGGCGCUGCUGCUGGUCGCCCUCGCCGUGGCGGCCGUCGUGGUGGCUCUCGCUCUGUCGCGGCGCAAGGGCGGCAGUGUGCAGCUCGCCGGUGCCGGUCUGUCUGGCUUGAGUGAAUUUGCCAGUGUUGGUGUGUUUCGUUUUCUUGGGUUGUGA